UACGUAGGGGGCAAGCGUUGUCCGGAUUUAUUGGGCGUAAAGAGCGUGUAGGCGGCCAGGUAGGUCUGCUGUGAAAACUCGAGGCUUAACCUCGAGCUGUCGGCGGAAACCAUCUGGCUAGAGUCCGGAAGAGGAGAAUGGAAUUCCCGGUGUAGCGGUGAAAUGCGCAGAUAUCGGGAAGAACACCUAUGGCGAAGGCAGCUCGCUGGGACGUUACUGACGCUGAGACGCGAAAGCGUGGGGAGCAAACAGG
rnacentral:rRNA from 1 species